GCACCAAAUCAGCCGCAGGAGCACAGGUGAAGGCAAUUCAGCCGUGUGACCAGAAGGGGUGAAGCCAGGCUCCACCUCUCCUAGACCCCAUUUAAGGGCUGACUGCCACUGAGGAAGGAUCUCUUCUUGGAGAUUGCUCCUUGUGGAGUUUUUGCAAGCCUACAACACCGGUCUGGUCUCAGUGGAGGCAGUGCGACUUCACCAUUAUGCACAUACACUGCCUUCCCUUCAUCACUGGAGCUAUAAGAGAGAUGUGUCAUGUUUGAUUGGGAAAAUAUCGAUGUCGGUGGGAAAUCCCUGAGCAAAACUUCGUCACACGCUUUAAAGGAGGAGAAAGAUUCACUAUUUCCUCGUACAGGGCAGAGUGCUCCCCGUGAAUAACUGGACCCAACCUAAAAGCAGAAGGAAGUGUCUUUUUAAAGAACAGAGGUGUGGUGAUGACACUGUCGUGCUUCAUAGGCCUUGUGUAACCGGUGACGUGUGCGGCUUCUGAAGAGCCGGUUCCCCAGUCAGGCUGAGGUCACUCCCCAAGAAGAACAAUAAAAGACCAAUAAGUUGGCUGGCUGCAGGGAUCUGCCCCUUUCCCCCAGUAAAAAGAUAUUCGCUGGAUACAAACAUGGGUUUCUGUGGACUGGCAUGACUGCUGUGGUGGUUUGCGUAAAUCCAAGCUGGAAGUUUUGAAAGGGGAGAAUGCCAACCCAACAGACUGAGUCUACGGCCGCUAAGCGCCCUGAAGCCGCAAGGAACAGGCAGUUCCAUGCUGAGGGCACGUGGUUACCUACAGUCGUAUCUAUGUAAAUGUCUCCACACUGACUUGUUCAGCAAUUUACAACUUUCAAAUUACGGUUGUUUAAAGGGUGUGAAAAGGCUUUAUGUCAAGAAAUUGCUUUCAUGUUCAACUGGAUGCAAGCUAGAGUCUACAAUAGGGGAACUGGUUCUCCAGUAAAGGUUGUUCAGCACACUGGCCCAAACCUGGCCUGCUCUUGCACUCAUGGCAGAGCUCUUCAGGGCAAUAUGAAAAUACAUCUUUCCUGCUUUCCUACAAGAAGCGUAUGUACGUUUAUUUAACUGAGGGAUGAUCCUAAUCUGCAGUAAUUCUGCAGGCAUUGGUGAAUGACGUUGGAAAUAGGGAAGUGAAAUGGCCAGGUAAGCAUUAACUGCUCUGCUUUUGUGCACAUGGAGAUUAAAUAUUUAAAGGGAAGAUCUGCGAAGUUUCAGCAUUGCAUGUGUAGGUAAUGCCUCUGAGCAGUACAUUAAAGAAUAGUAAUGCAUAUAUACAUACUCUGAGCAUAAAGAUGGACUCCAGAUUAGCUAAAAUUGUAUCUGAUAAGCCCCAGUAAAACCUUAAUAGUUUCUAUCAAUGCCAUGAAGCUGGGGUUGGGUUUUGGGGUUUCUUUUUCUCUAACAGAAAUUGUGCAUUUUAGGAAAAGCAUCCAGGAUAAUAUGGCUUGAGAGUGGCCUGGAGAGAUUUCUAAAAAUGUCUAAGCAAGUCAAAGGCAGAAAUGGGAAUCUGUGCAGUGGCAGCACUGUGAGGGUGUGGGCUGUUCCUGUGGGAUGAUCAAGAGGUGCAUUUCACAAGAGAGAAACCUUCUCUCUGGAUAAUUUUUCAUAGCUAGCAAGGAUGCCUUGCACAGUUUCUGUCUUGCAACAGAAGCUAUACGCAGAGAUUUCAUCUCCCCGCCUGACCUCUCGGCCUUGCAAUGCGGUGCCACCAAAGCCCAGCCCCUGGGGACUGCUGCAGGAACCUCCCUGCCUGCCCUGCAUCUCCAGCAGCCACUGGGAAGGGCACUGAAUGAUGGGGCUGCUGAGGUGGGAUGAGGACUGGGGUGCUGGAGGAAUGACAGUGGGACUUGCCUGGGCUGGAGGCUCCUGGGUGUGGAUGCCCUCUCUGCAGACAAGCUUCAUUGUCCGUUCCUUGUCACGUCCCUGAUGUGGCCUUGAUAAAGCAACACCUGAACAAACCCCACAAGGGUUGUGAUAAGCAGAACAGAAGCAGAAGAGCCUCCGGUUUCCACCAGUGCCCUGAAAACUGCUUGCAACCUCUCUCACCCAGUGUG
ensembl:lncRNA